GACGAACGCUGGCGGCGUGCUUAACACAUGCAAGUCGAACGGAAAGGCCCUGCUUUUGUGGGGUGCUCGAGUGGCGAACGGGUGAGUAACACGUGAGUAACCUGCCCUUGACUUUGGGAUAACUUCAGGAAACUGGGGCUAAUACCGGAUAGGAGCUCCUGCUGCAUGGUGGGGGUUGGAAAGUUUCGGCGGUUGGGGCUGGACUCGCGGCUUAUCAGCUUGUUGGUGGGGUAGUGGCUUACCAAGGCUUUGACGGGUAGCCGGCCUGAGAGGGUGACCGGCGACAUUGGGACUGAGAUACGGCGCAGACUCCUACGGGAGGCAGCAGUGGGGAAUAUUGCACAAUGGGCGGAAGCCUGAUGCAGCAGCGCCGCGUGCGGGAUGACGGCCUUCGGGUUGUAAACCGCUUUCGCCUGUGACGAAGCGUGAGUGACGGUAAUGGGUAAAGAAGCACCGGCUAACUACGUG
rnacentral:rRNA from 1 species